rnacentral:tRNA from 1 species
UCUUUGUAAGCUGAGAUGUAAAGCGUCUGCCUGCAAUGCAGGAGACCCGGGUUUGAUCCCUGGGUCAGGAA